ACGCUAGCUACAGGCUUAACACAUGCAAGUCGAGGGGCAGCAUGGUCUUAGCUUGCUAAGGCCGAUGGCGACCGGCGCACGGGUGAGUAACACGUAUCCAACCUGCCGUCUACUCUUGGACAGCCUUCUGAAAGGAAGAUUAAUACAAGAUGGCAUCAUGAGUCCGCAUGUUCACAUGAUUAAAGGUAUUCCGGUAGACGAUGGGGAUGCGUUCCAUUAGAUAGUAGGCGGGGUAACGGCCCACCUAGUCUUCGAUGGAUAGGGGUUCUGAGAGGAAGGUCCCCCACAUUGGAACUGAGACACGGUCCAAACUCCUACGGGAGGCAGCAGUGAGGAAUAUUGGUCAAUGGGCGAGAGCCUGAACCAGCCAAGUAGCGUGAAGGAUGACUGCCCUAUGGGUUGUAAACUUCUUUUAUAAAGGAAUAACGUCGGGUAUGGAUACCCGUUUGCAUGUACUUUAUGAAUAAGGAUCGGCUAACUCCGUGCCAGCAGCCGCGGUAAUACGGAGGAUCCGAGCGUUAUCCGGAUUUAUUGGGUUUAAAGGGAGCGUAGAUGGAUGUUUAAGUCAGUUGUGAAAGUUUGCGGCUCAACCGUAAAAUUGCAGUUGAUACUUGGAUAUCUUGAGUGCAGUUGAUGCAGGCGGAAAUUUCGUGGUGUAGCGGUGAAAUGCUUAGAUAUCACGAAGAACUCCGAUUGCGAAGGCAGCCUGCUAAGCUGCAACUGACAUUGAGGCUCGAAAGUGUGGGUAUCAAACAGGAUUAGAUACCCUGGUAGUCCACACGGUAAACGAUGAAUACUCGCUGUUUGCGAUAUACUGCAAGCGGCCAAGCGAAAGCGUUAAGUAUUCCACCUGGGGAGUACGCCGGCAACGGUGAAACUCAAAGGAAUUGACGGGGGCCCGCACAAGCGGAGGAACAUGUGGUUUAAUUCGAUGAUACGCGAGGAACCUUACCCGGGCUUAAAUUGCAGAUGAAUUACGGUGAAAGCCGUAAGCCGCAAGGCAUCUGUGAAGGUGCUGCAUGGUUGUCGUCAGCUCGUGCCGUGAGGUGUCGGCUUAAGUGCCAUAACGAGCGCAACCCUUGUUGUCAGUUACUAACAGGUUCCGCUGAGGACUCUGACAAGACUGCCAUCGUAAGAUGUGAGGAAGGUGGGGAUGACGUCAAAUCAGCACGGCCCUUACGUCCGGGGCUACACACGUGUUACAAUGGGGGGUACAGAGGGCCGCUACCACGCGAGUGGAUGCCAAUCCCCAAAACCUCUCUCAGUUCGGACUGGAGUCUGCAACCCGACUCCACGAAGCUGGAUUCGCUAGUAAUCGCGCAUCAGCCACGGCGCGGUGAAUACGUUCCCGGGCCUUGUACACACCGCCCGUCAAGCCAUGGGAGCCGGGGGUACCUGAAGUGCGUAACCGCGAGGAGCGCCCUAGGGUAAAACUGGUGACUGGGGC
rnacentral:rRNA from 1 species